rnacentral:rRNA from 1 species
AUGAACGCUGGCGGCGUGCCUAAUACAUGCAAGUCGAGCGAACGGACGAGAAGCUUGCUUCUCUGAUGUUAGCGGCGGACGGGUGAGUAACACGUGGAUAACCUACCUAUAAGACUGGGAUAACUUCGGGAAACCGGAGCUAAUACCGGAUAAUAUUUUGAACCGCAUGGUUCAAAAGUGAAAGACGGUCUUGCUGUCACUUAUAGAUGGAUCCGCGCUGCAUUAGCUAGUUGGUAAGGUAACGGCUUACCAAGGCAACGAUGCAUAGCCGACCUGAGAGGGUGAUCGGCCACACUGGAACUGAGACACGGUCCAGACUCCUACGGGAGGCAGCAGUAGGGAAUCUUCCGCAAUGGGCGAAAGCCUGACGUAGCAACGCCGCGUGAGUGAUGAAGGUCUUCGGAUCGUAAAACUCUGUUAUUAGGGAAGAACAUAUGUGUAAGUAACUGUGCACAUCUUGACGGUACCUAAUCAGAAAGCCACGGCUAACUACGUG